GAUGAACGCUGGCGGCGUGCCUAAUACAUGCAAGUCGAGCGAACAGACGAGGAGCUUGCUCCUCUGACGUUAGCGGCGGACGGGUGAGUAACACGUGGUUAACCUACCUAUAAGACUGGGAUAACUUCGGGAAACCGGAGCUAAUACCGGAUAAUAUAUUGAACCGCAUGGUUCAAUAGUGAAAGACGGUUUUGCUGUCACUUAUAGAUGGAUCCGCGCCGCAUUAGCUAGUUGGUAAGGUAACGGCUUACCAAGGCAACGAUGCGUAGCCGACCUGAGAGGGUGAUCGGCCACACUGGAACUGAGACACGGUCCAGACUCCCACGGGAGGCAGCAGUAGGGAAUCUUCCGCAAUGGGCGAAAGCCUGACGGAGCAACGCCGCGUGAGUGAUGAAGGUCUUCGGAUCGUAAAACUCUGUUAUUAGGGAAGAACAAAUGUGUAAGUAACUAUGCACGUCUUGACGGUACCUAAUCAGAAAGCCACGGCUAACUACGUG
rnacentral:rRNA from 1 species